AUUUAUCGGUGUAGGGUACAGAGGUAAGAUGUUCCAUCUUUCAGACCUUUUGUUUCACGUUAUUAGAAUUUAUAUAAAUUCAUACGCCUCAGUCGGUAUUUGACUGAGGCGUUUUUUA
rnacentral:other from 1 species